AAGCGGCAACAGCUCAAAUUUGAAAUCUGGCGUCUUUGGCGUCCGAGUUGUAAUUUGCAGAGGGCGCUUUGGCAUUGGCAGCGGUCCAAGUUCCUUGGAACAGGACGUCACAGAGGGUGAGAAUCCCGUACGUGGUCGCUAGCCUUUACCGUGUAAAGCCCCUUCGACGAGUCGAGUUGUUUGGGAAUGCAGCUCUAAAUGGGAGGUAAAUUUCUUCUAAAGCUAAAUACUGGCCAGAGACCGAUAGCGCACAAGUAGAGUGAUCGAAAGAUGAAAAGCACUUUGGAAAGAGAGUUAAAAAGCACGUGAAAUUGUUGAAAGGGAAGCGCUUGCAGCCAGACUUGCCUGUAGUUGCUCAUCCGGGUUUCUACCCGGUGCACUCUUCUAUAGGCAGGCCAGCAUCAGUUUGGGCGGUUGGAUAAAGGUCUCUGUCAUGUACCUCCUCUCGGGGAGAACUUAUAGGGGAGACGACAUGCAACCAGCCCGGACUGAGGUCCGCGCAUCUGCUAGGAUGCUGGCGUAAUGGCUGUAAGCGGCCCGUCUUGAAACACGGACCAAGGAGUCUAACAUCUAUGCGAGUGUUUGGGUGUCAAGCCCGAGCGCGUAAUGAAAGUGAACGGAGGUGGGAACCUUUCGGGGUGCACCAUCGACCGAUCCUGAUGUCUUCGGAUGGAUUUGAGUAAGAGCAUAGCUGUUGGGACCCGAAAGAUGGUGAACUAUGCUUGAAUAGGGUGAAGCCAGAGGAAACUCUGGUGGAGGCUCGCAGCGGUUCUGACGUGCAAA
rnacentral:rRNA from 1 species